rnacentral:tRNA from 1 species
GGAGGGGUUCCCGAGUGGCCAAAGGGAGCAGACUGUAAAUCUGCCGCAAUAUGCUUCGGAGGUUCGAAUCCUCCCCCCUCCACCA